GAUUUAUAAUCCAAAUUGUCUGUGCCUCUGAAUUUUUACAUAAUGAAAACAACUUCAAAAUUACAUGUUAAAACAAAAUGAUUAAAAAAAAAACACCAUAGACUUAAUAGCUAGACUAAUCAAAUCUCAAGUUCUGCUGUUCCCUAGUUAUGUGGUUCCCUAUGGUAAAAUAGUUAAAGAGAACUUGCAGAAUGUCAAGAUAUAGGACAAUAUCUAUGCCAGUAUUUGUUUGUACUAUGGGCAUGUUAAAAGAUUAUACCUUGUGAAUUUAUUUCAUAAAGGCUGUCCAUCUGUUCUUGCUGCUAGAAAAAAAAAAUACCUUAGUCAGGGUAACAUAAACAGAAAUUUAUUUCUCAAAGUUCUAGAGACUUGAAAGUCAAGAUACCAAUAGAUUCAGUGUGCUACACUAAAUUAAAGUUGGUCUAAAGCUACCUGUGUACUUUGAGUUUUUACAUAGAAAACUGUAGUAUAAUUGAGGAAUAUAUUCUCAUGACAAAUAACUGAAUCCCAGUCAAUCACAGCAGCCAAAGGUAAUAAGCCAAUCAGGCUGCCAAAUGAUCAGACCAUUUUCCCAUGAGGCAAAUGACCCAUCACACCAUACCCCCGAAAAAGACAAAUGCUGAUCUGUAACCAAACAAGCUGUUUCUGUGUGGCUCUUCCACUUUCUGUCUAGAAAUAGUGCCUGCCCACAUUGCUUGGAGAAGCUCUCUGAUCCACUGCUGGUUCAGAGUGCUGCCUGAUUCAUGACUUGUUCUUUGCUGAAAUUAACUCUGCUUAACUUAAUUUUUCUAAAGUUUCUUUUAACAGGUAUCUGGUGAAGACCUAUUCUUC
rnacentral:lncRNA from 1 species